rnacentral:rRNA from 1 species
UGGGGAAUAUUGCACAAUGGGCGCAAGCCUGAUGCAGCCAUGCCGCGUGUGUGAAGAAGGCCUUCGGGUUGUAAAGCACUUUCAGCGAGGAGGAAGGUGGUGAGCUUAAUACGCUCAUCAAUUGACGUUACUCGCAGAAGAAGCACCGGCUAACUCCGUGCCAGCAGCCGCGGUAAUACGGAGGGUGCAAGCGUUAAUCGGAAUUACUGGGCGUAAAGCGCACGCAGGCGGUUUGUUAAGUCAGAUGUGAAAUCCCCGGGCUCAACCUGGGAACUGCAUUUGAAACUGGCAAGCUAGAGUCUCGUAGAGGGGGGUAGAAUUCCAGGUGUAGCGGUGAAAUGCGUAGAGAUCUGGAGGAAUACCGGUGGCGAAGGCGGCCCCCCUGGACGAAGACUGACGCUCAGGUGCGAAAAGCGUGGGGCAGCAAACAGGAUUAGAUACCCUGGUAGUCCACGCUGUAAAACGAUGUCGAUUUGGAGGUUGUGCCCUUGAGGCGUGGCUUCCGGAGCUAACGCGUUAAAUCGACCGCCUGGGGAGUACGGCC